GACGAACCGUGCGAACGUUGUUCGGAAUCACUGGGCAUAAAGGGCGCGUAGGCGGCUUAUCAAGUCAGUGGUGAAAUCCGGCAGCUUAACUGUCGAAGUGCCUCUGAUACUGAUGAGCUCGAGGGAGGUAGGGGUGUGCGGAACUUCCGGUGGAGCGGUGAAAUGCGUUGAUAUCGGAAGGAACGCCGGUGGCGAAAGCGGCGCACUGGACCUCUUCUGACGCUGAGGCGCGAAAGCUAGGGGAGCAAACGGG
rnacentral:rRNA from 1 species